rnacentral:rRNA from 1 species
GAUCCUGGCUCAGGAUGAACGCUGGCGGCGUGAUUAACACAUGCAAGUCGAACGAAGCGAUUUAGCGGAAGUUUUCGGAUGGAAGCUGGAUUGACUGAGUGGCGGACGGGUGAGUAACGCGUGGGUAACCUGCCUCACACUGGGGGACAACAGUUAGAAAUGACUGCUAAUACCGCAUAAGCGCACAGGACCGCAUGGUCCGGUGUGAAAAACUCCGGUGGUGUGAGAUGGAUCCGCGU